rnacentral:lncRNA from 1 species
CUCCACCCCGGCCAUGCUGUCGUCGUCCACCACCGCUCGCUGCUCCUUGUACACGUACCACUUGGCCGCUACCAGAUAGAGCACCAGGUUCACGGAGCUCAGCACCGCGACCAGCCAGUAGAAGUUGUAGAGCUUGCCGCGGUUGAGGUUGUCGGUGAGCCAGCCACCGUGGCCGCUCUCCCCCGUCACCUUGUGCACCACCGACACCAGCACGGAGCUGACGAAGAAGCCCAGCGACAGUGUGCUCA